CUACCAUCUGCUUCCUGACUAUAGUCUCUCUCGCUUCCCUCUCGAGUUUCGAAGAGUUUCGAAUCCAACUGCAUUACUCUAUGGAGAUUGAAGGGAUUUUUCAUUUGUCUUCGUCUCCGAGUCCAUUUUUCUGCUGCAGGAUAGGAUCUCCGGAGAAUUAUCGGCGCAAUUUGUCGAUCUGAAUUGAUGUUUGUCCGAUAGUCGGAGUUUCAAUUUUCGCAAUCUCUAAUAUUGCAAUGGAACUCUGAUUGUGAGCUUUGCGGAGAUGAUUCUUCGCGGCGCGGUCGGUCGCCUGGGAUUGGCAUUGUCUCCUAUAACUGCAAGAACCUGGCUGCAGAUUUUCUGUCAAAUUACGAGUUUCUGGCUAUUGGAAGUGUUGAUUCAAGUGCGCAUUCCGUUGUGAUUGAAUAUGUUCUGUAGACCCAUAAAAGUUCAUCGACCUCAUUUAUGCCCAGAGAGUGAAUGGUGUUUAGGCGAGGGUAAGAGUUUGAUUCACGCAUUGAUCAUAAUUUCCAGAAGUAGGUGGGUUUUGUGUUCACGCCACCCGUUGAUCAUUAUUUCCAUAACAUAUCCCUUUUUAGUAUGUGCAUCGAAUUGAUUUCAUGAAUAUCUGGAGCUUAAUUAAAUUUUCCAACAGUAAAAAUUUGGUUUAAAGGCGAAAUUAAAAUUGUGUGUUUGAUUUCUUAGAAAAUAUUGCAUUUACUAUUCUUCAAUAUCUACCCUGUAGCUACACGGGCUGGUGUUUUUUCAGUUUGCCUGAUUCAUUUCAGUCAGUUGUUCAUGCUUAUUGUGUUAUAUAUCUGCCUCUCUAAAGUUUGGAUUCCUAGCUAGACUUAAGCAAUUUGGAAAGAAUCAGUUACUGGAUCAUGGAGCAUAGGAAACACGACAGUUGAAAUCAUCAGUUUUCUUUGAUGACAUGUUUCUCUAUGAUUUGAUUGAUCGGAUACAAUUUGCUUUUGUGACACCUGCAUCAAAGCAAAAAAUAGAAGUUCCCAGUUUAGCAUCAUUUUGUCCUGCUGUUGGCAAGUAAGAUAAGAUAAUUUUGAUCUUCAAGCUUGAAUAAAGUGAGUGCACUAUCCACAAACGCUAUUAUCCUACUAGGUUUCAGCACUUAUGGUUGAUUUUAAUUUUCUGUAUUGAAGCUAUCAUUAACCCACAAUGUUAUGUUAAGUGAUGAUGCUUCUUCUAUCAUCCAAAGUGUUAUAUUUCAGAGUGCUUCUAACUAAUCUCAUGUGUUUUCAUUUUUAAACUUAAAUAAUUACAUGGAUGAUGCUAAGAUAAGUUUCACUUUUAAAAUUAAUCCCUUACUCAACUGCACGACAGUCAUGGUAAAUAGAUCUCUUUUCCAUACAGUAUGAUCUCUGUAUGUGACGUCAGUAACAAAUAAUAAAUGUAAGAAUACCUUAUGCUUCUGGUGGGAUGAAGGGAAAGCAACCAGUAGCUUCUUAAUUAUUUUAUCAAUUUCCUUUCCUUUUUCCUUGUAUUCUUGAGAGGUGAAGAUUGAUUAAGUAUGACAUUUGUGUUCCGAAUUUACUCGGUGUCCUGCUUGUCUUAUGUUGAUUUUGUUGGUGUUCCUAGGCAUAUUUGGGUUGCUAAUAUGUUGACCUCUUUUCUGGAAUUUGCAAAGGUGUGGACUUAAGGAGGGGAUUUCAUAUUUGGCUUAAUCAGCAUUAGUCAUGGUGUCAACCAUAGAAAGCUUGGACUCAAAAAUUAUCUUUGAGAUGUGAUAAUUUGAGUUGCAACAGCUGCACCGUUUCAAGCAAGGUAUGUGGUUUCAAUUACUGCUUCCAUGCUGUAUUGGGGCCAUAUGAUGAGAAAUUGGAACUCCACUUAUUAGAACAAGGUAUGUAUCCAUAAUCAAUGUCUAGUUGUAGAAAAGGACAAUCUUAUAAUUGAAAAUCCUUUUUUUAUAAGGUAACUUAAA